UGCCAGCCGCCGCGGUAAUACGGAGGGUGCAAGCGUUAUCCGGAUUUACUGGGUUUAAAGGGUCCGCAGGCGGACUUCUAAGUCAGUGGUGAAAGCCCGGAGCUCAACUUCGGAACUGCCAUUGAUACUGGAGGUCUUGAAUAUAGUGGAGGUUGGCGGAAUGUAGCAUGUAGCGGUGAAAUGCGUAGAUAUGCUACAGAACACCGAUUGCGAAGGCAGCUGACUACACUAUUAUUGACGCUGAGGGACGAAAGCGUGGGGAGCGAACAGGAUUAGAUA
rnacentral:rRNA from 1 species